GACAAGAGGACCAGAAAUUCGGUUGAGAGAGAGAAGAAACAGAGGUAGAAUCGAAGAGAGAGAGAGCGUGAACGGAAGGGAUCCGGCAAUCGUCCAUGGUCGGCCACCAUGUUUUGGUGACCAUCUCUGUCUUUCGCCCCCCCCCCCGGGUUCUAGCCCGGUAGCGCCUACGGUUUCCAGUCAGAUUCGUUUACAAAUGAAUACCCUAAUCCAAUUCCGCCGCAUCCCUCGACGUCUCCCCUUCCUCCCUCUUCUCCCAGUUUCGAUUCCGGCGAACCCUCCAUCGGAAUCCACGCUUGAUGCUUGUCGUCUGAAAUUAGAGAUCUGACAGAUUGCAUGUACAAAUUUGGGUUUACUUGUGUUGAUUGUAGAUUCUGCAGUUUUAAAAGCUACUCGAAUUUGGUCUCCAUUCAGGAAUAGGCACACGUCGCCCAUCAAAUCAGAGAAAGCCUUCGGCGAAGGAGGAAGCCGACCUCCAGUGACCAGGCCUUCGUAGGCAACGACAGUGGAAGACGGUCGCGAUAUGGUCAUCGACGAUAGUGUGUGACGCUAAUGGCUAGACGACAGUGGAAGACGGUCGCGAUAUGGUCGUCGUCAAUGGUGUGUGACGCUAAUGUAUAGAUAGUCGUUUAUGCCGGUGUAUGACGCUAUUGGCUCCAACGGGUCACAUAUAGUCUCAGAGGAAGCGCGAAGGUAGACGAGUAAAAACUCUCUCGAUUCUUUCUGAAUUUAUAUGUUCGUUAAUGGAGAUUCGUGUGGCUACGCCUUUAAUCUUCAGUAUUGAACUAUAGAAGUUGGAAUUCAUCGUGUCAAACAUCACCGUUUACAUUUGCCUUGAUUGUGUGUGAUGAUUUGUCUAAGUGAAAACUACUAUCUGGUUUGGUCGUUGUAUCUGCAAGAAAAAAAAGCGAGGCUUUGUUCUUCUUUUCUUAUGCUGUUGCUAGAAUGGUAAUGUAAUUACAACUUCCAUGGCGGACAAAAGUGGUUGAACAAUUCUGAUGGUAAUCAACUUGCUGGUGUGGUAUACAGUCUGUGCCAAAGCUCUGAAUGUCUUACAACAUUGCUCUUAAAAGUGAGGUGAAUCUGGUGAGAAUAAGAGUAGACAACGUGGUGAAAGAUUUGAAGUUCGAAGGUUGAGAUCGCAUAUUGAAGCCAACUACUCUAAGGCUUUGGUUUCAAGUUUUAUUCAUUUUUUUUUUUUGUUUUGAACAUGAUGUUUAUUGCUUUUGAACUUUGUUUUGAUUAUACAAACAUGUUUAGAGGCUAAACUUUUGUAGUCGCCUAGGUUUGAUGAACUAAUCAUGUGUUUUUUACUUGUCCAGUUUUACUUUUAUCCAAGUUUAUGUUUAA
rnacentral:lncRNA from 1 species